rnacentral:misc_RNA from 1 species
GUGAAUCAUCGAAUCUUUGAACGCACAUUGCGCCCGCCAGUAUUCUGGCGGGCAUGCCUGUCUGAGCGUCAUUUCAACCCUCAAGCAACUUCUGCUUGGUGUUGGGGAUCGGCCGUCAAACGCCGCCCCCGAAAUCUAUUGGCGAUCUCGCUGUAGCUUCCUAUGCGUAGUAGUAACAUCUCGCAUCUGGAGAGCGGCGCGGUCAUGCCGUAAAACACCCAACUUUUCAGGUUGACCUCAGAUCAGGUAGGAAUACCCGCUGAACUUAAGCAUAUCAAUAAGCGGAGGA